GACGAACGCUGGCGGCGUGCUUAACACAUGCAAGUCGAACGGAAAGGCCCUGCUUUUGUGGGGUGCUCGAGUGGCGAACGGGUGAGUAACACGUGAGUAACCUGCCCUUGACUUUGGGAUAACUUCAGGAAACUGGGGCUAAUACCGGAUAGGAGCUCCUGCUGCAUGGUGGGGGUUGGAAAGUUUCGGCGGUUGGGGAUGGACUCGCGGCUUAUCAGCUUGUUGGUGGGGUAGUGGCUUACCAAGGCUUUGACGGGUAGCCGGCCUGAGAGGGUGACCGGCCACAUUGGGACUGAGAUACGGCCCAGACUCCUACGGGAGGCAGCAGUGGCGAAUAUUGCACAAUGGGCGGAAGCCUGAUGCAGCAACGCCGCGUGCGGGAUGACGGCCUUCGGGUUGUAGACCGCUUUCGCCUGGGACGAAGCGUGAGUGACGGUAAUGGGUAAAGAAGCACCGGCUAACUACGUG
rnacentral:rRNA from 1 species